rnacentral:lncRNA from 1 species
AUGAAGUCAUGCACUCCCUCCCCAGUUGGCCUGUCCUAUCCUGUGCUCGCCCUGGCCUUUCUUCAGAGGCAGGGCAGGUUAUACUCAUUUUACUUCUCCCCUCUGCCAAAUUAUGACACAUUAAAUGAAUACAUUUCCUCUCUACAACCCUGUAAUGCCUACUCCCCUAUCCCUGGCGCACUUGACUUUAGGUCUUACCCGGGACAGGGACUUUUCAUGUGGGGAAGUCAGAUAGAGCCACAGAACAUGAGUGAUCUGAUAUUCCCACAGCCCAUUACACAUGCAAGGUUACUGAGGCAGGAGGAGAAUGGAGACCCACCUGCAGCCUGUGUCACCUGCCAAGACAGCCCUUUGCUAAGCCUCCAGCAGUGUCCGGCGAGGUAGGAGGUCAGUAAGAAUGAACGGAUGUGGAAAAGAUUCUUGCACCUGUGCUCAACGCAAGUCUCCCAGGCUGCCUUUGGAGAUGGCUGCUUUCCAACGGCAAGGGCCUCAGAAACCAGUUUAGCUGACGCUCACCUACUGAUGAGAACUCAGGCCCAGGCGUCAAAAGACUUCCUUCAGGUCACACACUAGCAGGUUUAAUUUCUAGUCCAGGAUUCUUUCCACUGCUCUGUCUUUCAUUCACAUCUGUCCGUUACUCAAAACGUCACAGAAGCCCAUUCCAGGACUAACCCUGUGCCCCCGAGUCUCUAUUAGAACCGGGUAACAGGCGCCUAAAUAACCACAGCCUCCACCCACCUCGGGGAAGGGCAGGUCAGAGGAGGGAGCAGUCUGCACCACGUGGCGGGGAGCCUGCCAGCCCAGAGCAGACUGAGCUCAUUUUCAAUCCGGUCAUAAAGAGGAAGAUGGGGGGGAGGGGGGGGUCAGGAAUCUUUAUGCGUUACUGUCACAGUGCCUAUUGGGGACCUUAUAUUCUUUUUCUACCCUAUCAGUAAUGUGGGAUUGGUUUCUUUUUUCUACAUUCUUUUAAAUUUUCUUUCCUGAGAAUUCAGUGUCCUUGACCUCAGCAAAUGAACUGAGAACCCUGAACCAGGGGAAAUAAACCAAGCAAACUUCUCA